GCGGCCCUUCCGGUGGGGCAGCGCGGCCGCGGCCCGGCCGGGCUCCGGUGGGAAUGGAGCCUCGUAACGCGUCUGUGCUCCCGGCCGGCAGCGCCACUGCCGCUGGAUGUGCGCGGGAGAGGGCCCAGGGUCACUGGGAAGCAUGGGACAAGACCUGAACGAUAACUUCUUACAAGACCUGAAUGAUAACUUCUUGCAAGGUGCAGCGGGGAGAGAAGCAGCAAGUUGUGCUGGAACAGUUUCUGGAGAAAUGCGACACAAAAGGUUAAAUCUGUGCCUGAGCUGAGAGAGGAUGGAAUCUGCUGGGACGGCUUAGCCUGGAAGAGAGCUGUCAUGGAGAUGGUCCAGACUCUGGUUUUCCUGCAGUCUGCUGGUUUACACGAGACCCCAAAGUGUUUCCUUAAAGCACUUCAAAGGAAUUUCAGCUGAUGGGUCAGAAGUUGCUGUUGGCUGCCAUCACAAAGACACACAGAGGACAUUUGAAGUUUUCCCUGUUGUGUGCCUAGUGAGCCAACAGGGAGCAGGUGUUCCCUGUGGAGCUGUGGGGUUUUCAGCCUGGCCAGUGCCUCUGUACCAGCAGCAGGGCUGCACCUGGAAGCCAGAGCCAGUGCAUGGCCAGAGGAGCUCGACAGGCAGACAGGUCCUGACUUCUUUACACAGGCUGCGGAUGAGGCACAUCAGCCUCGAGCAAAGGUUCGGGUGUGGAAUUUAGUCACCAAAUAGUGGGAAGGUCCCUAUGACCUUAUCGCCUCGGGGUGCAGGUAUGCCUGUGUAUCCACAGAUACUGGGGUACGCUGGGUACCUUCGAGAUGUGUUCGCCCUGACCUGCGACCACAGAGGCAGAAUCCAGCCGACGAGCAAGAUGGAGACCAUGACCAACCUCAAAGGCAUCAAGCGGGUGAAUCAUUGAGUGAUGACUCGGACACAGAUGCUGAGAGUGAUCACUCCGAUGAUUCCUCUGCAAGUGGACGCUGAAUGUUGUUCAUGUUUUCCUUUUCACAUUGUUCAUUUUCUUUUCCUUUUUUCUUUUUUAAAUGGAAAAAGGGUGAGAUGUCACCCUGGUUUUUUAAGAUUUUCUAGGCCUUCUG